CCUACGGGGGGCUGCAGUGAGGAAUAUUGGUCAAUGGGCGCGAGCCUGAACCAGCCAAGUCGCGUGAAGGAUGACUGCCCUACGGGUUGUAACCUUCUUUUAUAAAGGAAUAAAGUGAGGCACGUGUGCCUGUAUGUAUGUACUUUAUGAAUAAGGAUCGGCUAACUCCGUGCCAGCAGCCGCGGUAAUACGGAGGAUCCGAGCGUUAUCCGGAUUUAUUGGGUGUAAAGGGAGCGUAGAUGGGUUGUUAAGUCAGUUGUGAAAGUUUGCGGCUCAACCGUAAAAUUGCAAUUGAUACUGGCAGCCUUGAGUACAGGUGAGGUAGGCGGAAUUCGUGGUGUAGCGGUGAAAUGCUUAGAUAUCACGAAGAACUCCGAUUGCGAAGGCAGCUUGCUAAACUGCCACUGACAUUGAGGCUCGAAAGUGUGGGUAUCAAACAGGAUUAGAUACCCUGGUAGUC
rnacentral:rRNA from 1 species